GUACGGUGAAACCGCGAAUGGCUCAUUAAAUCAGUCGAGGUUCCUUAGAUGAUCCAUUUCUACUUGGAUAACUGUGGUAAUUCUAGAGCUAAUACAUGCCCAACAGCUCCGACCCCGGGCUUCGCGGUUCGGGGAAAGAGCGCUUUUAUUAGUUCAAAACCAGUCGGGGGCUUCGGCCCUCGUGCUUUGGUGACUCUGGAUAACUUUGAGCCGAUCGCAUGGCCUCGAGCCGGCGACGCAUCUUUCAAAUGUCUGCCCUAUCAAAUGACGACGGUACGUGAUCUGCCUACCGUGUUGACUACGGGUAGCGGGGAAUCAGGGUUCGAUUCCGGA
rnacentral:rRNA from 1 species